UACGUAGGGUGCGAGCGUUGUCCGGAAUUAUUGGGCGUAAAGAGCUCGUAGGCGGUUUGUCACGUCUGCUGUGAAAUCCCGAGGCUCAACCUCGGGCCUGCAGUGGGUACGGGCAGACUGGAGUGCGGUAGGGGAGAAUGGAAUUCCUGGUGUAGCGGUGGAAUGCGCAGAUAUCAGGAGGAACACCGAUGGCGAAGGCAGUUCUCUGGGCCGUAACUGACGCUGAGGUGCGAGAGCGUGGGGAGCGAACCGG
rnacentral:rRNA from 1 species